rnacentral:rRNA from 1 species
UACGUAGGGUGCAAGCGUUAAUCGGAAUUACUGGGCGUAAAGCGUGCGCAGGCGGUUGGGCAAGGAAGGGGGGAAAUCCCCGGGCUUAACCUGGGAAUGGCCUUUGUGACUGCACGGCUAGAGUGUGUCAGAGGGGGGUAGAAUUCCACGUGUAGCAGUGAAAUGCGUAGAGAUGUGGAGGAAUACCGAUGGCGAAGGCAGCCCCCUGGGAUAACACUGACGCUCAGGCACGAAAGCGUGGGGAGCAAACAGG